rnacentral:rRNA from 1 species
UUGUGGAGAGUAUGAUACCGGCUCAGGACGAACGCUGGCGGCGUGGAUUAGGCAUGCAAGCCGAACGAGAAACUAUACUUCGGUAUGGUGGAAAGUGGCGAAAGGGUGAGUAACGCGUGGGUAAUUUGCCUUUGAGAUGGGGACAACAACUCGAAAGGGUUGCUAAUACCAAAUACGAUUCGUUAGACUUUGGUUUUUCGAAUGAAAGGUGGCUUCGGCUGCCGCUCGAAGAUAAGCCCGCGUCCUAUUAGCUUGUUGGUGUGGUAAUGGCGCACCAAGGCGACGAUGGGUAGCUGGUCUGAGAGGAUGGUCAGCCACAUUGGGACUGAGACACUGCCCAAACUCCUACGGGAGGCUGCAGUCGAGAAUAUUUCGCAAUGGGGGAAACCCUGACGAUGCGACGCCGCGUGGGGGAUGAAGGCCUUCGGGUCGUAAACCUCUGUGUUACGGGAUGAAUCGGACGUUGCUGAUAACGCAGCGUUCUUGACGUUACCGUAGUAGAAAGCCCCAGCUAACUACGUGCCAGCAGCUGCGGUAAUACGUAGGGGGCAAGCGUUGUCCGGAAUCACUGGGCGUAAAGCGCGCGCAGGCGGUGGAGUAAGUCAGACGUGAAAGGGUUCGGCUCAACCGAGCCAUUGCGUUUGAUACUGCUUUACUUGAGUCUAGAAGAGGAAAGUGGAAUGUAUGGUGUAGCGGUGGAAUGCUUAGAUAUCAUAUAGAACACCCGUGGCGAAGGCGGCUUUCUGGUCUAAGACUGACGCUCAUGCGCGAAAGUUUGGGGAGCAACCGGGAU